AUACAGAGGGUGCAAGCGUUAUUCGGAAUUACUGGGCGUAAAGCGCGCGUAGGCGGAUGAUUAAGUCAGUUUUGAAAGCCCUGGGCUCAACCUAGGAACUGCAUCUGAUACUGGUCGUCUAGAGUUUAAGAGAGGGAAGUGGAAUUCCAGGUGUAGCAGUGAAAUGCGUAGAUAUCUGGAGGAACAUCAGUGGCGAAGGCGACUUCCUGGCUUAAAGCUGACGCUGAGGUGCGAAAGCGUGGGUAGCGAACGGGAUUAGAAACCCCAGUAGUCC
rnacentral:rRNA from 1 species